rnacentral:rRNA from 1 species
CCCCGGNNNNNNNNNNNNUGGUUAGNUCCCCUUGAGUUGAUCAUGGCUAGAAUCACGCUGGCGGCGUGCCUCAGACAUGCAAGUCGAACGCGAAAGUCCCCUUCGGGGGACGAGUAGAGUGGCGCACGGGUGAGUAACACGUAGGUAAUCUACCUUUGGAUUGGGAAUAACCACCGGAAACGGUGGCUAAUACCGAAUAAUGCAGCGGCACCUAAUGGUGACAGUUGUUAAAGCGGGGGAUCGUAAGACCUCGCGUCUGAAGAGGAGCCUGCGGCAGAUUAGCUAGUUGGUAAGGUAACGGCUUACCAAGGCGAUGAUCUGUAGCCGGCCUGAGAGGGCGGUCGGCCACACUGACACUGACAUACGGGUCAGACUCCUACGGGAGGCAGCAGUCGGGAAUUUUGGGCAAUGGGCGAAAGCCUGACCCAGCAACGCCGCGUGAAGGAUGAAAUCCCUCGGGAUGUAAACUUCGCAAGAACGGGAAGAAUAAGUAAGGGUUAAUAUCUCUUACGAUGACGGUACUGUUUGUAAGCUCCGGCUAACUCCGUGCCAGCAGCCGCGGUAAUACGGGGGGAGCAAGCGUUGUUCGGAUUUACUGGGCGUAAAGGGCGCGUAGGCGGCCACCGCAAGUCGACUGUGAAAUCUCCGGGCUUAACCCGGAAAGGUCAGCCGAUACUGCCGUGCUUGAGGACUGGAGAGGAGACUGGAUUUACGGUGUAGCGGUGAAUGCGUAGAUAUCGUAAGGAGACAGUGGCGAAGCGGUCUCUGGAAGUCCUGACCUA